rnacentral:rRNA from 1 species
UACGGGGGGGGCAAGCGUUGUUCGGAAUUACUGGGCGUAAAGGGCGCGUAGGCGGCCAGCACAAGUCAGUUGUGAAAUCUCCGAGCUUAACUCGGAAAGGUCAACUGAUACUGUGCGGCUAGAGUGCGGAAGGGGCAACUGGAAUUCUUGGUGUAGCGGUGAAAUGCGUAGAUAUCAGGAAGAACACCCGUGGCUAAGGCGGCUCUCUAGUACGGUACUGACGCUGAGACGCGAAAGCGUGGGGAGCGAACAGG